rnacentral:rRNA from 1 species
ACGAAGGGGGCUAGCGUUGCUCGGAAUCACUGGGCGUAAAGCGCACGUAGGCGGCUUUCUAAGUCAGGGGUGAAAGCCUGGAGCUCAACUCCAGAACUGCCCUUGAGACUGCAUCGCUUGAAUCCAGGAGAGGUGAGUGGAAUUCCGAGUGUAGAGGUGAAAUUCGUAGAUAUUCGGAAGAACACCAGUGGCGAAGGCGGCUCACUGGACUGGUAUUGACGCUGAGGUGCGAAAGCGUGGGGAGCAAACAGGA